rnacentral:ncRNA from 2 species
GGAUGCGAUCAUACCAGCACUAAU